UUUAGUGUGGUGCUUGGGCACAUCAUAUUUUGGUUAUGGGGGUAACUUGUUGUUCACUUUUC
rnacentral:tRNA from 1 species